UACGAAGGGAGCUAGCGUUGUUCGGAAUUACUGGGCGUAAAGGGCGCGUAGGCGGCCUUGUAAGUCAGAUGUGAAAGCCCCGGGCUUAACCUGGGAACUGCAUUUGAAACUGCAAGGCUAGAGGAUGAGAGAGGAAAGUGGAAUUACGAGUGUAGAGGUGAAAUUCGUAGAUAUUCGUAAGAACACCAGUGGCGAAGGCGGCUUUCUGGCUCAUAUCUGACGCUAAGGCGCGAAAGCGUGGGGAGCAAACAGG
rnacentral:rRNA from 1 species